rnacentral:tRNA from 1 species
UGAGGCCGUAGCGGGAGACGCCGCCGUAGGUCGGCUUGGUGCCGACGGUGCCGGUGACGGCCGCCGGCUGGCGGAUCGAGCCGCCGGUGUCGG